rnacentral:tRNA from 1 species
GCCUUCGUGGUGUAAUGGUCAGCACGCUCGACGCCUUUUCCAGAGAUCCAUGGUUCGAGUCCCGGCUAGGGCA